rnacentral:rRNA from 1 species
CCUACGGGAGGCAGCAGUGAGGAAUAUUGGUCAAUGGCCGGAAGGCUGAACCAGCCAAGCCGCGUGAAGGACGAAGGUGCCAAGCAUUUUAAACUUCUUUUGUCAAGGGACAAAAUCAGGCUCGAGAGCCUGACCGAGGGUACUUGAAGAAAAAGCAUCGGCUAACCCCGUGCCAGCAGCCGCGGUAAUACGGAGGAUGCGAGCGUUAUCCGGAUUUAGUGGGUUUAACGGGUGCGUAGGCGGACUGUUAAGUAAUAGGUAAAAGCCCGGGGUUCAACCCCGGCAGGCCGGUGAUACUGGCUGUCUUGAGAUGUAGAGAGGUAUGCAGAAUGCGCAGUGUAGCGGUGAAAUGCAUAGAUAUUGCGCAGAACUCCGAGUGCGAAGGCAGCAUACCGGCGGCGAACUGACGCUGAGGCACGAAAGCGUGGGUAUCGAACAGGAUUAGAUACCCGGGUAGUC